rnacentral:tRNA from 1 species
GUUAUCUUAGUAAAAGUUAUUACGUUGUCUUGAUGAGGCGGAGUUCUGUGUGGGAUAAUA